CACCCGAAACUGAUUUAGCUAACUGUAAAGAGAGGCGAUCAGUGAAGGUGAAGAGGGUGAUUGGGGUGAAGUCGUAACAAGGUAGCAGUAGGUGAACCUGCAGAAGGAUCA
rnacentral:rRNA from 1 species